rnacentral:rRNA from 1 species
AUUGAACGCUGGCGGCAGGCCUAACACAUGCAAGUCGAGCGGAUGAAGGGAGCUUGCUCCUGAAUUCAGCGGCGGACGGGUGAGUAAUGCCUAGGAAUCUGCCUGGUAGUGGGGGAUAACGUCCGGAAACGGGCGCUAAUACCGCAUACGUCCUGAGGGAGAAAGUGGGGGAUCUUCGGACCUCACGCUAUCAGAUGAGCCUAGGUCGGAUUAGCUAGUUGGUGGGGUAAAGGCCUACCAAGGCGACGAUCCGUAACUGGUCUGAGAGGAUGAUCAGUCACACUGGAACUGAGACACGGUCCAGACUCCUACGGGAGGCAGCAGUGGGGAAUAUUGGACAAUGGGCGAAAGCCUGAUCCAGCCAUGCCGCGUGUGUGAAGAAGGUCUUCGGAUUGUAAAGCACUUUAAGUUGGGAGGAAGGGCAGUAAGUUAAUACCUUGCUGUUUUGACGUUACCAACAGAAUAAGCACCGGCUAACUUCGU